GGUUAACGCUGGCGGCGUGCCUAACACAUGCAAGUCGAACGGUUCUAAGCGCGAGCUUAGGAUAGUGGCGAACGGGUGAGUAAAAGGUAGGAAUCUACCCCUUGGACGGAGAUAGCUACUGGAAACGGUAGGUAAACUUCGAUAAGCCCGAGAGGGGAAAGUGGUGAGACAGCCGAGGGAUGAGCCUACUCUCCAUCAGGUAGUUGGUGAGAUAAAAGCUUACCAAGCCGAUGACGGAUAACCGGUGUGAGAGCAUGAACGGUCACAAGGGCACUGAGAGACGGGCCCUACUCCUACGGGAGGCAGCAGUGGGGAAUCUUGGACAAUGGGCGAAAGCCUGAUCCAGCGACGCCGCGUGGAGGAAGAAGUCCUUCGGGAUGUAAACUUCUGAACUAGCCGAAUAAAAGGCCUGUGGACACACAGGAGAAGAAAGUAGGCUAGGAAAAGUCCCGGCUAACUACGUG
rnacentral:rRNA from 2 species